rnacentral:rRNA from 1 species
GAUGAACGCUGGCGGCGUGCCUAAUACAUGCAAGUCGAGCGAACAGACGAGAGUGCUUGCACUCUCUGACGUUAGCGGCGGACGGGUGAGUAACACGUGGGUAACCUACCUAUAAGACUGGGAUAACUUCGGGAAACCGGAGCUAAUACCGGAUAAUAUUUAGCUUCGCAUGAAGCAAUAGUGAAAGACGGUUCUGCUGUCACUUAUAGAUGGACCCGCGGUGUAUUAGCUAGUUGGUGAGGUAACGGCUCACCAAGGCAACGAUACAUAGCCGACCUGAGAGGGUGAACGGCCACACUGGGACUGAGACACGGCCCAGACUCCUACGGGAGGCAGCAGUAGGGAAUCUUCCGCAAUGGACGAAAGUCUGACGGAGCAAUGCCGCGUGAGUGAAGAAGGUUUUCGGAUCGUAAAACUCUGUUGUAAGGGAAGAACAAGUACGUUAGUAACUGAACGUACCUUGACGGUACCUUACCAGAAAGCCACGGCUAACUACGUG